rnacentral:misc_RNA from 1 species
CGCUUGUUUAGAUGGGAUGACGAGAGGAGAAAAAAUGAGGCAAAAGAUCCCUUUCCUUUACUUGGUUUUCAGUUGAAAGUACAAUAUAGCUUCUAUAAAAAGGACAUACACAUGAAAGCAAAUAUGUAAUUCAAUAUACAAGUUGGCUUCCCAGUGCCUGUUUUCCCCACUUUGUAUAUCCUCCUUUUUCUCCCCCCACCUUUCUUUCCCAAACACAGUGUUAAGGUCAAUAUAUUUUUAGAACUCGUGAGCACAUGCAUCAGUUAAAAUAGUAAUUUUUAACUACAGUCAACUUGAUCAACCAAUUGUGAUAAUUAUGGAUGUCUUUGCUUCGCACUUUACUGAAUGGAACUCUCUUCUAGUCAAACUGUUAUAUUUUUCUUUCUUGGGGUUAAAUUAUAUCGUAAUGCAUGACCCUUGACCUUAAAAGGUAAUUCAAAAUUGCUCCCUUGACACUAAAUUGUUAAAAUGUCAACCUUAAACUUGAUUUUGUUUGACAAAUUUGGCUUAGAAUUUUAAUUAUCCAUGGAAUAUAUUUUAAUUUAAUGCAUGGCAUCUAAAUGGUUGUGCUUUAUGUGAGAAAUCUUGGAGAAAAUGUUUAAGAUCUAGGCUGAAUCUUUUUAAUUGUGACUUCUGUAUCAUUUAUCCUUGUCACUGAAAAAAAUAAGCUCACAAACUCAUUCUACUCGAUAAGAGCUUUUUUUAGACUCCGCAUUUGUAAAAUUUCACGGGCAAAUUAAAGAAGAUUUGAGGAAAGAAAAUUUGAGGGUUUUGAAUUGUAAUGUUUUGUGAAAUUUUUAGUUGACAUUGUACUAAUUUAAAAUUAGGAGUAUAAUUUGAUAUUAUGCUCGAAGAUUAAGGCUUGGUGUGCGCGCGCGCGUGUGUGU